rnacentral:rRNA from 1 species
UACAGAGGGGGCAAGCGUUAUCCGGAAUUACUGGGCGUAAAGGGCGCGUAGGCGGCCUUCUAAGUCGAACGUGAAAUCCCUGGGCUCAACCCAGGAACUGCGUCCGAUACUGGGAGGCUUGAAUCCGGGAGAGGGAUGCGGAAUUCCAGGUGUAGCGGUGAAAUGCGUGGAUAUCUGGAGGAACACCGGUGGCGAAGGCGGCAUCCUGGACCGGUAUUGACGCUGAGGCGCGAAAGCCAGGGGAGCAAACGGG